rnacentral:rRNA from 1 species
ACAGCAGCAGCCGCGGGAAUACGUAGGUGGCAAGCGUUGUCCGGAAUUAUUGGGCGUAAAGCGCGCGCAGGUGGUUCCUUAAGUCUGAUGUGAAAGCCCACGGCUCAACCGUGGAGGGUCAUUGGAAACUGGGGGACUUGAGUGCAGAAGAGGAAAGUGGAAUUCCAAGUGUAGCGGUGAAAUGCGUAGAUAUUUGGAGGAACACCAGUGGCGAAGGCGACUUUCUGGUCUGUAACUGACACUGAGGCGCGAAAGCGUGGGGAGCAAACAGGAUUAGAACCCCCGUAGUCCCUGUCUCUUAUACA